AGUGAACGCUGGCGGUAGGCCUAACACAUGCAAGUCGAACGGCAGCACAGUAAGAGCUUGCUCUUACGGGUGGCGGGUGGCGGACGGGUGAGGAAUACAUCGGAAUCUACUUUUUCGUGGGGGAUAACGUAGGGAAACUUACGCUAAUACCGCAUACGACCUACGGGUGAAAGCAGGGGAUCUUCGGACCUUGCGCGAUUGAAUGAGCCGAUGUCGGAUUAGCUAGUUGGCGGGGUAAAGGCCCACCAAGGCGACGAUCCGUAGCUGGUCUGAGAGGAUGAUCAGCCACACUGGAACUGAGACACGGUCCAGACUCCUAAGGGAGGCAGCAGUGGGGAAUAUUGGACAAUGGGCGCAAGCCUGAUCAAGCCAUACCGCGUGGGUGAAGAAGGCAUUCGGGUUGUAAAGCACUUUUGUUGGGAAAGAAAAGCAGCAGGUUAAUACCCCGCUGUUCUGACGGUACCCAAAGAAUAAGCACCGGCUAACUUCGUG
rnacentral:rRNA from 1 species